rnacentral:rRNA from 1 species
GGGUUGUGAGGUUAAGCGACUAAGCGUACACGGUGGAUGCCCUGGCAGUCAGAGGCGAUGAAGGACGUGCUAAUCUGCGAUAAGCGUCGGUGAGGUGAUAUGAACCGUUAUAACCGGCGAUUUCCGAAUGGGGAAACCCAGUGUGUUUCGACACACUAUCAUUAACUGAAUCCAUAGGUUAAUGAGGCGAACCGGGGGAACUGAAACAUCUAAGUACCCCGAGGAAAAGAAAUCAACCGAGAUUCCCCCAGUAGCGGCGAGCGAACGGGGAGGAGCCCAGAGCCUGAAUCAGUGUGUGUGUUAGUGGAAGCGUCUGGAAAGGCGUGCGAUACAGGGUGACAGCCCCGUACACAAAAAUGCACAUAUUGUGAGCUCGAUGAGUAGGGCGGGACACGUGGUAUCCUGUCUGAAUAUGGGGGGACCAUCCUCCAAGGCUAAAUACUCCUGACUGACCGAUAGUGAACCAGUACCGUGAGGGAAAGGCGAAAAGAACCCCGGCGAGGGGAGUGAAAAAGAACCUGAAACCGUGUACGUACAAGCAGUGGGAGCCUCUUAAUGGGGUGACUGCGUACCUUUUGUAUAAUGGGUCAGCGACUUAUAUUCUGUAGCAAGGUUAACCGAAUAGGGGAGCCGAAGGGAAACCGAGUCUUAACUGGGCGUUAAGUUGCAGGGUAUAGACCCGAAACCCGGUGAUCUAGCCAUGGGCAGGUUGAAGGUUGGGUAACACUAACUGGAGGACCGAACCGACUAAUGUUGAAAAAUUAGCGGAUGACUUGUGGCUGGGGGUGAAAGGCCAAUCAAACCGGGAGAUAGCUGGUUCUCCCCGAAAGCUAUUUAGGUAGCGCCUCGUGAAUUCAUCUCCGGGGGUAGAGCACUGUUUCGGCAAGGGGGUCAUCCCGACUUACCAACCCGAUGCAAACUGCGAAUACCGGAGAAUGUUAUCACGGGAGACACACGGCGGGUGCUAACGUCCGUCGUGAAGAGGGAAACAACCCAGACCGCCAGCUAAGGUCCCAAAGUCAUGGUUAAGUGGGAAACGAUGUGGGAAGGCCCAGACAGCCAGGAUGUUGGCUUAGAAGCAGCCAUCAUUUAAAGAAAGCGUAAUAGCUCACUGGUCGAGUCGGCCUGCGCGGAAGAUGUAACGGGGCUAAACCAUGCACCGAAGCUGCGGCAGCGACACUAUGUGUUGUUGGGUAGGGGAGCGUUCUGUAAGCCUGUGAAGGUGGCCUGUGAGGGUUGCUGGAGGUAUCAGAAGUGCGAAUGCUGACAUAAGUAACGAUAAAGCGGGUGA